rnacentral:tRNA from 5 species
GUUUCUAUAGCUUAACAGGAUAGAGCGCAGGCCUCCGACGCCUGUAGUGACGGUUCGAGUCCGUCUAGGAACA